rnacentral:rRNA from 1 species
AACAAACGCUGGCGGCGUGCCUAAUACAUGCAAGUCGAACGGGGAAAGCUUUCGGGUGAGUACUAGUAGCGCACGGGUGAGGAACGCGUGGAUAAUCUGCCUUAGAGUGGGGGAUAACUAGCCGAAAGAUUAGCUAAUACCGCAUAAGACCACAGGAGCUGCGGCUCUAGGGGUCAAAGGUUUUUCGCUCUAAGAUGAGUCCGCGUAAGAUUAGCUAGUUGGUGAGGUAACGGCUCACCAAGGCGACGAUCUUUAACUGGUCUGAGAGGAUGAUCAGUCACACUGGAACUGAGACACGGUCCAGACUCCUACGGGAGGCAGCAGUAGGGAAUAUUGCACAAUGGAGGAAACUCUGAUGCAGCGACGCCGCGUGAGUGAUGAAGGCCUCCGGGUCGUAAAGCUCUGUCGCAGGGGAAUAACACAAUGAAUGUACCCUGUAAGAAAGGAUCGGCUAACUUCGUGCCAGCCGCCGCAGUAAGAC